AUUUAACUGCAAAAACCUCUGGUAGGGGGUUUAAAACUCAAAACCACCUGGGGGUUUUGAGUUUAAAACCCCCUACCAGGGGCUUUGAGUUU
rnacentral:pre_miRNA from 1 species